GUCGGGAUGGUCAACGAGUUGUCCAGCGUUUGACCGAAGAUAUUUUGAAGAACGUUGGUAACCAAAUAAGAUGGGACCGCAUUGACUUCCAUUGUGUUCCACUUGAAGAAAGAGUCAUAUACUGGUUUUGAACCACACGUGG